GCGGAGGAAAAGAAACCAACUGGGAUUACCUUAGUAACGGCGAGUGAAGCGGUAAAAGCUCAAAUUUGAAAUCUGGUACUUUCAGUGCCCGAGUUGUAAUUUGUAGAAUUUGUCUUUGAUUAGGUCCUUGUCUAUGUUCCUUGGAACAGGACGUCAUAGAGGGUGAGAAUCCCGUUUGGCGAGGAUACCUUUUCUCUGUAAGACUUUUUCGAAGAGUCGAGUUGUUUGGGAAUGCAGCUCAAAGUGGGUGGUAAAUUCCAUCUAAAGCUAAAUAUUGGCGAGAGACCGAUAGCGAACAAGUACAGUGAUGGAAAGAUGAAAAGAACUUUGAAAAGAGAGUGAAAAAGUACGUGAAAUUGUUGAAAGGGAAGGGCAUUUGAUCAGACAUGGUGUUUUUUGCAUGCACUCGCCUCUCGUGGGCUUGGGCCUCUCAAAAAUUUCACUGGGCCAACAUCAAUUCUGGCAGCAGGAUAAAUCAUUAAGAAUGUAGCUACUUCGGUAGUGUUAUAGCUUUUUGGAAUACUGUUAGCCGGGAUUGAGGACUGCGCUUCGGCAAGGAUGUUGGCAUAAUGGUUAAAUGCCGCCCGUCUUGAAA
rnacentral:rRNA from 1 species